GAAGGUCACGGCGAGACGAGCCGUUUAUCAUUACGAUAGGUGCCAAGUGGAAGUGCAGUGAUGUAUGCAGCUGAGGCAUCCUAACAGACCGGUAGACUUGAACCUUGUUCCUACAUGACCCGAUCAAUUCGAUCGGGCACUCGCCAUCUAUUUUCAUUGUUCCACUCUUUAACAACACGAAAAAACCAUUGUUCAACUCUUUGACAACAUGAAAAACCAAAAGCUCUGCCCUCCCUCUCUAUCUAUCCAAGGGAUGGAAGGGCAG
rnacentral:rRNA from 1 species